rnacentral:rRNA from 1 species
UGAGGAAUAUUGGUCAAUGGGCGAGAGCCUGAACCAGCCAAGUCGCGUGAGGGAAGACGGUCCUAUGGAUUGUAAACCUCUUUUGUCGGGGAGCAAAAAGGCCUCGUGAGGCCACAAGUGAGAGUACCCGAAGAAAAAGCAUCGGCUAACUCCGUGCCAGCAGCCGCGGUAAUACGGAGGAUGCGAGCGUUAUCCGGAUUUAUUGGGUUUAAAGGGUGCGUAGGCGGACUGGAAAGUCAGCGGUAAAAUCGAGAGGCUCAACCUCUUUCCGCCGUUGAAACUGUCGGUCUUGAGUGGGCGAGAAGUAUGCGGAAUGCGUGGUGUAGCGGUGAAAUGCAUAGAUAUCACGCAGAACUCCGAUUGCGAAGGCAGCAUACCGGCGCCCGACUGACGCUGAGGC